rnacentral:rRNA from 1 species
AACGUAGGAGGCGAGCGUUAUCCGGAUUCACUGGGCGUAAAGCGCAUGUAGGUGGUUCGUCAAGUCGAAGGUGAAAGCCCCUGGCUCAACUGGGGGAGGUCCUUCGAAACUGGCGGACUGGAGGGCCAGAGAGGAAGGUGGAAUUCCCGGUGUAGCGGUGGAAUGCGUAGAUAUCAGGAGGAACGCCAGUGGCGAAGGCGGCUUCCUGGCCCGUCCCUGACGCUGAGACGCGAAAGCGUGGGGAGCAAAC